rnacentral:rRNA from 1 species
GAUGAACGCUGGCGGCGUGCCUAAUACAUGCAAGUCGAGCGAACGGACGAGAAGCUUGCUUCUCUGAUGUUAGCGGCGGACGGGUGAGUAACACGUGGAUAACCUACCUAUAAGACUGGGAUAACUUCGGGAAACCGGAGCUAAUGCCGGAUAAUAUUUUGAACCGCAUGGUUCAAAAGUGAAAGACGGUCUUGCUGUCACUUAUAGAUGGAACCGCGCUGCAUUAGCUAGUUGGUAAGGUAACGGCUUACCAAGGCAACGAUGCAUAGCCGACCUGCGAGGGUGAGCGGCCACACUGGGACUGAGACACGGUCCAGACUCCUACGGGAGGCAGCAGUAGGGAAUCGUCCGCAAUGGGCGAAAGCCUUACGGAGCAACGCCGCGGGAGUGAUGAAGGUCUUCGGAUCGUAAAACUCUGUUAUUAGGGAAGAACAUAUGUGUAAGUAACUGUGCACAUCUUGGCGGUACCUAAUCAGAAAGCCACGGCUAACUACGUG